CGACGGGAACUCCUGAAGUCUAUUUUUUAAAUCAGAUUGUUUUGUUUCUUAUGGUUGAGUUUUUCAUUGAAAUAUAGUUCAUGUACAAUAUUAUGUAAGUUACAAUAUAAUGAUUUACAAUUUUUAAAAUUUAUACUCCAUUUAUAGUUAUCAUAAAAUAUUGGCUAUAUUCUUGGUGUUGUAUAUCCUUGUAGCUUAUUUUUUAUGUAAUAGCAUAAUAGUUUGUUCCUCUUAAUAGUUUGUUCCCCUAUCUGAUCUUGGCCCUCCUCCACUUUCUCCUCCAGAGUGGUAACCACUAGUUCUCUAUAUCUGAGUCUGUUUGUUAUAUUUUUAGAUCCCACAUAUAGUGGUAUCAUACCAUAUUUUUCUUUCCUUUGUCUGACUAAUUUCACGUAGGAUAUUACCAUCCCAUUCCAUCCAUUACAAAUGGAAAUUUUUUGUUUUACUUUUUUAUGGUUGAGUAGUAGAUGAUUGUAUAUGUAUGCUACAUCUUCUUUAUCCAUUCAUCUAUUGAUGGAUACUUAGGUUAUGCUUCCAUAUUUGGCUAUUGUAAAUUACGUUUCUGUUAACAUUGAGGUGUAUGAUUCUUUUCUAAUUAGUGGUUUGCAUUUUUUUUCAUUUUUUUAUAAUUUAUUUUUUUUCAUACUGUACAGCAAGGGGGUCAGGUUAUCCUUACAUGUAUACAUUUUUCCCCCACCCUUUGUUCUGUUGCAACAUGAGUAUCUAGACGUAGUUCUCAAUGCUAUUCAGCAGGAUCUCCUUGAAAAUCUGUUCUAAGUUGUAUCUGAUAACCCCAAGCUCCUGAUCCCUCCCACUCCCUCCCUCUCCCAUCAGGCAGCCACAAGUGUCUUCUCCAAGUCCAUGAUUUUCUUUUCUGUGGAGAUGUUCAUUUGUGCUGGAUGUUAGAUUCCAGCUAUAAGUGAUAUCAUAUGGUAUUUGUCUUUGUCUUUCUGACUCAUUUCACUCAGUAUGAGAGUCUCUAGUUCCAUCCAUGUUGCUGCAAAUGGCAUUAUGUCAUUCUUUUUUUAUGGCUGAGUAGUAUUCCAUUGUGUAUAUAUACCACAUCUUCCGAAUCCAAUCAUCUGUGGGUGGUCAUUUGGGUUGUUUCCAUGUCCUGGCUAUUGUGAAUAGUGCUGCAAUGAACAUGCGGGUGCAUGUGUCUCUUUAAGCAGAUUUUGUCCGGAUAUAUGCCCAAGAGUGGGAUUGCAGGGUCAUAUGGAAGUUCUAUGUAUAGAUUUCUAAGGUAUAAAUAUACACAGUAAUGGAAUUGCUGGAUUAUGUGGUAGUCCUAUUUUUCAUUUUUUGAGAAACUUCCAUAUUGUUUUCUAUAGGGACUGUACCAAUUUACAUUGCCACCAACAGUGUAUGAGAAUUCUCUUUUCUCCUCACCAACAUUUGUUAUUUGUAUUCUUUUGGAAGAUAACCAUUCUGACCAGUGUGAAGUGAUACCUCAUUCCAAUUUUUAUUUCCAUUUCCGUGAUGAUUAGUGAAAUUGAACAACUUUUCAUGUGCCUCUUGCUAUCUGCAUGUCCUUUUUUUUUUUUUUUUUUUUUUUGUCGUUUUGUCCUUUGUUUUUAGGCCCACACCCAUGGCACAUGGAGGUUCCCAGGCUAGGGGUCUAAUCGGAGCUGUAGCUGCUGACCUACGCCAGAGCCACAGCAAACCAGAUCCAAGCCACAUCUGUGACCUACACCACAGCUCACAAGCAAAUGCCGGAUCCUUAACCCACUGAGCGAGGCCAGGGAUCAAACUCACAACUUCACGGUUCCUAGUUGGAUUUGUUUCUGCUGCGCCAGGAUGGGAACUCUUGCAUGUCCUCUUAUACAAUAAGCUAAUACAACUCAAUAUCAAAAAAAUCCCCAAACGACCUGAUUAAAAAAUGGGCCAAAGACCUGAGUAGACAUUUUUACUAUUGAGCUUUAAGAGCUCCUCGUAAAUUUUGGGUAACAGUCCUUUGUCAGAUUUUUCUUUGCAUAUAUUUUUCUCCCAGUCUAUGGCUUGUCUCCUCAUUCUCCUGAAGCAGUAUACAUUUUAAUAAUAAAAUAUUUAUUUUAUGAUUUAGGAUUCACACAAUUGUAGGUGAAUUGGGGGAAGUUAAGGUCCAGAAGGAGUUAUUGGAGGAUCAGAAGAGAAGUCACCAACUAACCAAUCUGAGAAGACAAGCAAGUCUGACUGAUGAAGUGGAAUCAUGAAUGGAGAGUUCCUGGGUAGUUUGUGGCAAAUUAUUUCUGCUCUGUAGCUUCUACUUCUGUAGCUCUAUAGGUAAAUGAGUGGAAUUUUGCAGGGAAAAUAUCAAAGGUCAGAGUAGUGACAGCAUUUGAGCAUUCGAGAAGAAUUUGGAUACAGUGUGGAAAAGAGCAUGCCACCAUGUCUGACUCCAUGAGGAGAGAAGGUGAGCUCAAGUGUUGGGCAAUAUUUAACUUGUUAUGAAAAAAAAUCAUGUGAAUUCCUCUGUUGGUUAAGGGACACAUACAAGGAAAGGAAUUCUGUGAUACACAGUUACUGCAUUAAACAAACUGACACAGCAUUAACCAAUACAGACUCUUAGUAUUUCCAUACAAGCAUUAGGAUUCAUUACAGGCAUGUAUUUGAGACAUUGUGGGUCAGUUCCAGCGCACUGCAGGAAAGCAAAUAUCUCAGUAAGUGGAGUCGCACAAUUUUAUUUCCUAGUGUAUAGAAAAGUUAUGUUUAUACUUUAGUUUUUAAGUGUGCAAUAGCAUUAUGCCUAAAAACAAUGUACAUACCUUAAUUAAAAAUAUAUUAUUGCUAAAAAAAAAUACUAACCAUCAUCUGAGUCUUCAGGAAGUCCUAACCUUUUGUAGUGACCAUGGAUCACAGAUUACCAUAACAAAUAUCAUACUAAGUGAAUUUGAAAUAUUGUGAGAAUUGCCAAAAUGUGACAUGGGUGACACAAAGUGAGCAAGUGCUGUUGGAAAAAUGGUGCACAUUGACUUGCUUGAUGCAGGUUUGCCACAAACCUUCAAUUUGUGAAAAAAAAUCUGUGAAGUGCAAUAAGAUGAAUUAUGCCUGCAUAUAACACUGUAUGAAUUAAAAAAAAUUCUUAAGCAUCCAAAAAAAUCAUGCUCAAAGGAUAGAAGUAAAAGUCAUCAUCAUAAUCAUCAAAAAUAACAUUGCAAAGUUUCCUCUAGGAAAUAGAAGAAAAGUUAAGCCUACAGAAGCUAAGAAACUUCAAAAAAGUUAUUAAAUAAAGCAAAACCCCUAUAAAUCAUAUAUGGUGAGGCUUUACAAUGAAAAAAUAUGAAAAUUGAAAAGAACUACCUAAAUUAAAAGUGUAAGACAUGACAUUACAAAAAGUUUAAAAUUAAUAAGAACAGAAAGCAGAACUUUUUAAAAAAGAAAUUAGUACCAUGAAAGAUAGAUCUAAGAAAAGCUUCAUCCCAUAGAAAGAUAAAAUGUAAAAAGAUAAAGAACAGGAGAAAGAUGGCAGUAAUGACAAAUAAUGGAAGAAGUUCCAAAUUAUAUAUUAUAUGGAAAAUACAGGAGAAAUCCAACUAAAGGUAUAUUUUUCCACCAGUUUAAUUUACAAGUUGAUGAAAACUCACACAUUUAUAAUGUGGUACAGGUCCUUUGAUAGAUGAAAAGGGACUUUUAAAAUUUUCAAAAUCACAUGAAGUACCCAAUUGCAUUACAUGAUAAUAAUUAGACAUGAAAAAUGAAUUAAAUGAGAAUAAAAUACUUAUCUUAAGAAAUACUGUUAAAAAUAUCUAACAAUCAACCUGGAAAUUAUAAGGAAAAUCUACAACUAAAUGAAAGUACUGUAGCUUUAUUUGACUGAAGUGAAAUAGCCUCUGAGGUUGUCUAUUUUGAAUAUUUAAAAUUUUUCUAAAUAUUCUCACCCCAAAUAUGGGUUAAUUAAUAAUGUGCAUUUAUUUGUUCAUUCAAAUGAGAUUUUUAAAAAAUUAUCCAUAUGGAUUAGACAUUAUUUUUAAUACUAGGUCUAUGAUACAAUAUUAGCUGGAGAGAAGGAUUAUGAAGAAAAAUAAAUCAGUUUAAGGAUUUAGACACAGAUUGUGAGUCACUAGCCAUGUUUUCAUUUCAGAGUUGUUACAUUAAUAAACAUGUUUAUUAUUUGAACUUAGAAUGGAACAAUAUUUGAAUUCAAUGUGAAACAGGUCUAUUCUAAACUAGAUAAGAAAACCAAUGCAGCCUGAGCUUGAGGAUAUGAUACUAGAAUCUUACAAAACUGAAAAUCAAAGGGGAAAAAAAUUAAAGAAUGGAACAGAAUAUCUAAGAACUGGGGUGAAUACAAAAGGUAUAAUUUACACAUAAUGGGAAUACCAGAAGGAAAAGAGAAAAGAACAGAAUCAGUUUUGGAAGGAACAAUGAUUGCAAGUAUGUCCAAGUUAACAUCAGUUCCAGGAAGCUGAGAAUACAGGAUGUUGAUAAGACAUAUGCCCAAACAACAACAAAAAUUCACCUGAGCCUAUCAUUUUCAAAUUCAGCAAAUCAAAGUAAAGAAAAAGAAUCCUGAAAGAAGUCAGAGGGCAAAUACUCCUUACCUAUACAGGAGCAAAGAUAAGAAUUACGUCUUGUUUUUUUCCUACAAAAAUUAUGACAGCAAGAAGGGUAGAGAGAAGUAUUUAAUGUGUUGAGAGAAAAACCCCCACCAAACUAUGAUUCUGUGCCUUGAGAAAUUAUCCUUCAGUAGUGAAGGAGAAAUAAGACCAAAUGAGUUGUCUUUUUUUUUUUUUUCCCCAGUAGACUUGCCUUGAAGGAAAUUUUAAAAGAAAAUUUUUGGAGAGGAGGGAAAAAACAUCUAUCAGAAUCUUAGAUCUACAUAAAGAAAGGAAGAUCUUAGGGGAAGGAAUCAAUUAAGGGUUUCAGAUCCAGCUCAGACAUAGAGUCAUCCAGCAGAGGACACUGUUCCUGAUGACCAGGUACUGACAAGGGUGAGAGGCAUCCCAAGGUGAAUUUCAGUUUGAUAUCUUAGUAUCUGCUAGAUUGUCAAAGUCAAGUUAAUACCAGGACACAUUUCAGCAUGGUUCCCUGACCCCCUUGGUUCAUCCUCUUAUGGAAAAUAAACCUAAAUUUCAUGUGAUUAAUACUUGUAUACCCUGAUUUAGGUUUGCUUUUGGAAAGGUAUGACCUGACACAGGAUCCUGGUACAUAUAUCUUAAGGUGAGGUUUU
rnacentral:lncRNA from 1 species